ensembl:lncRNA
GAGCAUUUUCUCAUUCCAUUUACAAAAUUAGCUAUUUUUGCACAAUUAUAUGGUUUGUUGAAUUGUAUUAUUUGUGUUUAGUAUUGUUAUCUGCUGUUUUAACGCUGAACAAACCCAGUCGAGAAGCACUUUGUGUGUGGAUGUUGUUUUCUACAGGCAGGGGGCAGCAGUGUGCAGCGUUAUGGGGAAGACGUACAGCAACGAGUGUCUUCUUCACAAGGAGGCCUGCCGCAAAAAACGACGCAUUGGCAAUGGCAAGGCACAUAGUGGAGCUUGUCUGGUAAGCGAGGCUGAGUGCUCUGAGGAAGAGUUCGGUCAGUUCCCGUACCGUCUGCUGGACUGGUUCUUACUCCUCAGCAGAAUGGGAGAGAGAUACACACCAGCCGCUCCCUCUCAAAGCUGUCUCACACACACCCAGCGAACCCAACUUGCAGAGGUAAAACAAAGAAACACACUGAACUCACUCAAAUCAUUUACACAUAGG